ACGCCUUGGGGACUGCGUCUGGUGUCAUCAGGUGCACCUGGCCAGGAAGGGGGCACAGGCAGGGGCAUGAACCCGGUGGCCUCCUCCAAGGACCCACCCAGCCCCACCCCAGCUCCACCUGCUCCCUGCCCUGGCCAUCUCCAGGCCACAUGGGAGCAGCACAAUAAUAAUAACUAUUAACGGGAAUAAGAGCAGCCCUCAGGGCUCCAGGAGUGGGAGCUGUAGUAACACGCAGUGCCCAGGGAGGGACACAUGGCAGGGGGUGUGGGGCAGGUGGGCAGGGCACUAAUGAGGGGCCUCGAGUCCCAGGCCAAGGGCUCAGACUUCCUCCUGGGGAUAAUGGGAAGGAGAACCACGUGGCCAGGUUUGUGCCUUUAGUGAGGUCCCCGAGGGGGAGCCUGGAAGGACCACUUUCUUCUUUUGGCCCUUCGGACCCCUAGAGGCUCUUCCUCCCACAACCUGGCCUCCCUCCCCAGUCUCUGGGAGGCCGGGCCUCGGCUCCUCUCCUGUGCUGCUGCUUCUCCCAGAGGACGGCAUCCGCCCUCAGCACUUCAAGGCCCUGCAUGUGCCCGCACCUCUCCACUCCCCUGGCUCAGCUUGGACCUCUCUUCUGAACUCCAGACCUGCGGAUCCUGCUCCCGUCACCACUUCUGUACUUGGGGUCUAACAGGGCCUCAGCGCAACAUGGAGUUCCUCCUUCCCUGACAUCAUAGCCCCUGCCUGGGAGGCCUCCUGGAUGACUCGUCUCGCCUCCUCCCUUCCCUGGGAGCAGCCCCUGGCUGAACCUCCACCUCCAUGCUGCCUUGGACCACCUGCCCCGUCCAGUUGCCAUCACCUGUCAGGUGACCACAGCAGCCUUCACUCGUCCCCUGCUCCUCCACCUUCCACCACCACCCCCACCCCCAAUCCCAGCCUCCCCCAGCAGCCAGAGAGAGGUCCUUCUGGAGGGUGACAUGGACCAGAACACUGCUUUGCUAAAGAGCUCCGACAGCCUCUUGGGUUACUUGGAAUAAAACACCUUCAUUCAGACCCCCAGGCCCUAGGGGAGCCAGCUCUGCCCACCCUGGUGUCACCUCCCUCCACCCUCCUCCCACUCAUUGCACCCAGUCCCUUCUCUCUGCUGGCCCUGAACCUGCCAAGCUCACUCCUGACUUAAGGCCUUGGAAUUGCUCCUUCUGCUAGAACAUCCCUUUUCCAGCUGCUGACUGGCCCCCUCCUUCUGUGGAGAGGCCAGGCCCAGUCUCUCUCCACUGACGGAGCAGCCGCUCUGCUCUUCCUUACAGGAGGCGUCAGCUCCACGGUUGUUUUGCUUUGGACAAACCAACAAACUGACAGCCUCCCCUAGAGCGCAGAGCCUGUCUGUUUGCUGCCCAGCAGGUUGUGAGUGCUCACUUUAGUUGAGCCCCUGAGGGGCAGGGGCAGGGGCAGAGGGAAUGGAGUCUGGGAGCUGCAGGUGCAGUCACCUUCCCGCGUGCCUCCCACACAUGCAGCCAUGAGAACCACACAGCAUAAAGGGUGGCUGGGCUGGGCCGCCCCAUGCGUCCUCAUCAUCCCUGGGCCUUUCCAAGGAGGUGGCUCCGGGUGUCCAGCAAACGCCAUUUGACUGCCCAGAAAGGAAGCAUUAUCAUAGGCUCAGAGCAGCUUUUGGUAAUUUCUUUCCUCUCACACCAAGGCAUUGCGUGCGCACGUGUGUGUGUGUGUGUGUGUGUUUUAAUUUUUAUUUUAAAGACAGGGUUUCGCUGUGUUGCCCAGGCUUGUCUUGAACUUCUGGGCUCGUGUGCUGCGAUUACAGGGUGAGCCACCACACCUGAUCAAGGCAUCACCGUUGAACCUCCUAAGAGGAAAACAUAAGGCUGUGCAAUACCAGGAACUGGGAUUCUAGGUUGCCCCAGACACCGAGGCAUCAAAAGCCAGGGGAUCCAGAGAAAACACAGCUGGCCAAGAGAGAAACUAGGGAAAAAGCCAAAAGGUUGAGAGCCACACCAUCUAGACGCUUCCUGCCUGCAGUGCGGCACAGAAAUAAGGAGAGUCAGCAAUUACCAGCCAGCCGAGGUCCUGGAAGCUGACGUAGAGCUCGUGCCGACGGCAGACCUGCCGGCCGUGGGAGCCGUGGACGUCAUCUGCAGGGACAGAAGGGGCAAGGUCUUUUCUGGGGUUCCUGCUGUGUGCAGCUACUAUGUGUGCAGCUACUAUGGGGUACCAGGGUGGGGGAUGCCCUGAUGAGCACAUUUGUCAAAUAAAUGAAUGACAGGAAACCA
rnacentral:antisense_RNA from 1 species